rnacentral:rRNA from 1 species
AUUGAACGCUGGCGGCAUGCUUUACACAUGCAAGUCGAACGGUAACAGGGAGCUUGCUCCGCUGACGAGUGGCGAACGGGUGAGUAAUGCGUCGGAACGUGCCGAGUAGUGGGGGAUAACGCAUCGAAAGGUGUGCUAAUACCGCAUACGUACUGAGGUAGAAAGUGGGGGACCUUCGGGCCUUACGCUAUUCGAGCGGCCGACGUCUGAUUAGCUAGUUGGUGAGGUAAAGGCUCACCAAGGCGACGAUCAGUAGCGGGUCUGAGAGGAUGAUCCGCCACACUGGGACUGAGACACGGCCCAGACUCCUACGGGAGGCAGCAGUGGGGAAUUUUGGACAAUGGGCGCAAGCCUGAUCCAGCCAUGCCGCGUGUCUGAAGAAGGCCUUCGGGUUGUAAAGGACUUUUGUCCGGGAGCAAAUGCCUGGUGUUAAUAGCAUCGGGAGCUGAGAGUACCGGAAGAAUAAGCACCGGCUAACUACGUGCCAGCCGCCGCCGUAACAC